GGUUCCUACGGGACGCAGCAGUGAGGAAUAUUGGUCAAUGGGCGGGAGCCUGAACCAGCCAAGCCGCGUGAAGGAAGAAGGCGCCAGGCGUCGUAAACUUCUUUUGUCGGGGAACAAAGGGCGCCACGCAUGGCGUUGUGAGUGUACCCGAAGAAAAAGCAUCGGCUAACUCCGUGCCAGCAGCCGCGGUAAUACGGAGGAUGCGAGCGUUAUCCGGAUUUAUUGGGUUUAAAGGGUGCGUAGGCGGUCCGGGAAGUCAGCGGUAAAAUCCCGGGGCUCAACCCCGGCGAGCCGUUGAAACUGUC
rnacentral:rRNA from 1 species